AUUGAACGCUGGCGGCAGGCCUAACACAUGCAAGUCGAGCGGAUGAAGGGAGCUUACUCCUGGAUUCAGCGGCGGACGGGUGAGUAAUGCCUAGGAAUCUGCCUGGUAGUGGGGGAUAACGUCCGGAAACGGGCGCUAAUACCGCAUACGUCCUGAGGGAGAAAGUGGGGGAUCUUCGGACCUCACGCUAUCAGAUGAGCCUAGGUCGGAUUAGCUAGUUGGUGGGGUAAAGGCCUACCAAGGCGACGAUCCGUAACUGGUCUGAGAGGAUGAUCAGUCACACUGGAACUGAGACACGGUCCAGACUCCUACGGGAGGCAGCAGUGGGGAAUAUUGGACAAUGGGCGAAAGCCUGAUCCAGCCAUGCCGCGUGUGUGAAGAAGGUCUUCGGAUUGUAAAGCACUUUAAGUUGGGAGGAAGGGCAGUAAGUUAAUACCUUGCUGUUUUGACGGUACCAACAGAAUAAGCACCGGCUAACUUCGUG
rnacentral:rRNA from 1 species